CAAACAAAGCAAGGCUAGCCCAACCCCGUAACCAAGGCAAAGCUAAAGCCAAUUUGGUUUACAUUAAUUGAAUGCAAAGCUAAAGCCAAUUUGGCUUACAUUAAUUGAAUGUAAAGCUAAAGCCAAUUUGGAUGAAGUCAAUCGAAUGUAAAGCUAAAGCCAAUUUGGUUGAAGCCAAUUGAAUGCAAGGCUAAAGCCAAUUUGGUUGAAGUCAAUUGAAUGCAAAGCUAAAGUCAAUUUGGUUGAAGUCAAUUGAAUGCAAAGCCAAAGCCAAUUUGGUUGAAAUAAAUUGAACGCAGAUGCUGAAAUCAGCACAACUCUCAAAAUGGCCGCAAUGGGGCGCGAGUCUCAGACUGGCCGGGAAGGAACAAAAUCGCCUCCGACGGCCCUUGGUUACGGGGUUGGGGUAGCCCUGCCUAGGAACAAACAAAGCAAGGCUAGCCCAACCCCGUAACCAAGGCAAAGCUAAA